rnacentral:misc_RNA from 1 species
CAAAAGUCAGAACUUACUUGUGUGUUAAGGUGUCCUCUUCCUCUCACUUUGAUGCUUACUUCUAAGGAAUUGUGCUGUAUAGAUAUUCCGGAAGGAGCCUUUCUUCUAUGGACAUGACAAUUAUGAUCAACUUGUGAAGAUUGGGAAGGUUCUGGGGACUGAUGAAUUGAACUCUUAUCUAAACAAGUAUAGAUUGGAAUUAGAUCCUCAUCUUGCAGCUCUUGUUGGACGACACAGCAGGAAACCAUGGGCGAAGUUUAUUAAUUCUGAAAAUCAACAUCUCGCAGUGCCUGAGGCGGUUGAUUUUGUUGACAAACUGCUCCGUUACGAUCAUCAGGAAAGACCGACUGCAAAAGAAGCAAUGGCUCAUCCGUAUUUUUAUCCUGUACGAAAUGCUGAGAGCAGUAGAACCCGCGCUCACUAAAACUAAAAGAUCUAGCAGGCAAUGGAUCAAUCUGCUGACCUUCUUUUGCAGUCUUUAUGUGAUACGCUGUGCUGAUUCAUAUAUGUUCUCUAGUGACGGGCGAUUAUUAUGGACCACUCCUGGUUGAUUUGCUGGUUUUAUCAGAUAUAACUCAUCUGCACCAGUUUUGGGUUUAAUUGUAUUGUUUCUUUUAGCUGUUUGUGUGACAUAGGUAAAAAAUAAGCAAAAAAUUCAAUUUGUUUUCUCAUUUCCUGGUUUAGUCAACUUCUAGUUUGUUUUCUUUUUUUAUUUACUUUUUGUGCUUCCGUAAGGUACAACUGUAUGAAUUCAUUCAGAGUGUA